AGUCCUGCGGUAUAAGCUAUACCAGCAAAAGGACUCUUUUUGUCAAUAGUAACUCAGUCUACACUAAAAGGAUUGGCCGGUAUAGCUAUAGGGUCUGGGCCUUUCCCAAGGUCACACAGGAAGUCUAUGUUGGAGCAGAGAACUUAAAUUUGAGUCUCCUGAGUCCCAGGCUAGCACCCUGCCAACUGAACCUGGAUGAAAAAAAUCUAUAUUCGGGGGCCUAAUUUUAGGCCCCCCCAGGUCUGAAAAUAUUAGCCUUUGCUCUUAAUGUCUCUGUUUCUCAGUGUCCCCAUCUGUGAAAUGGAGGCAACAAUAUCUGGCUGCCAGGACUGUUGGGAUGAUUAAGGUUUGUGAAGCCCUUGGAGGUUCUCAGCGAAAAGGCAUUAUAGUUGUAACACCCGGCACAACAUCUGGGACAGCCGCAUAGCCAAAAAACCUGAUGUUUCAGAGGCCAUCCAUCCUGAAGACAUGAAAAAUCCUGCCAGAACCUUGAGUCUGAAACCAAAAGGCUGCAGUUAGUUACACAGGCUGCCAAUCUUCACCACUGUAUUGAAUGGCCUAUCUGCUCCUCCGAAUUGAUCAUGCAAGGAAGUAACAAUGUUGACUCUACGAUGUCAUAAUUCUUCUGGAAACAGCCUAUGAUGUCAUCAGUACAGGAGCUUGAUGUCAUAAAAUAGCACUAAGGGAAACUAUGUUAACAGAGAGAGUGUUUCUUUAAAGUUCUAUGUAAAAUGCAUAGACCGUUCUGACAAACAGCCAGAUUUGGAUCCCCUUAAAAAUGUUAAGUAGUAUUUUACUUGGCGAGUAAUCCCACUGAUUUCAAUGGGGCUAGUCAAAGAGUAAGAUACUUCUCGAUGUGAGUACAAGUAUCAGAAUCUGGCCCUUAGUAAGUUGCUUUUUGUACAGAUGUUCUCUCUCACCCCAUCCCCAGCUCUGCACCACUAUAAUAAUCCCUCUUGGGGAAAAAAGUGUCUUUCAGUUGGCAUACGUAAUGGAAAGGAGCCUGGAAAGGACAUUUCUCCAGGAAGAAUAAGGUGCUUGCUUGCUCUUUCCUUGAUCAUAAACCUCUGAUACUUUUUCCACUUUCAAAUACCAAGAACUGUUUCAGAAGUAGUUUCCUAUAACUUUACCAGUCGCUGCAGAUCUCUAACACAAUACAGAUUCUGUCAAAGGAAGGAAGGGGUCAGCUCACGCAGUGCUCAGUGAUUUUCAGUUAGAAACACACCCACACGAGGAAGGGUAAACUUAAUGCUAAUAUCCAGACAAACUCCCCCUCCUCCUCCCAUGUCACUAAGGCAUCUACAUAUAUAUCUAUCAAUAACGUGGAGAGGAAAAUUAAUAGAGCGCAGUAAUUGUUUAAAACACAGACAUCGGAAAGCCAAGAAACUCAAAGUUAAAGUGCAUUGCAAAAACAAACAAAUGCUGGAAAAUAGAAAUGCGGAGUUAAGGUACUUCAAACAACCUUAACUCUGCCCUUCUACCCCACUACCUUGUGCAUGCCCCAGAUAAGAGAUAUCUGUCCAACUAUUGCAGCCAGUUGAUAUAUUCAGACCUAGAUAUCUGCUUUUAAUCUCAAUAUUUGUAUAGACCUGAUUGCUGUAUUGUCUGAGUGCUUCACAAAUAUUACUGAUUGAUUCUCAAAACUCCCCUGUGAGAUAGAAAGUGCUGUUAUCUGCAUUUUACAGACUAAGGAAAAAGGCCCAGAUCCUUAAAGUUAUUUAGGCACCUAUAUAACCCAUUGAUUUGAAUGGGGGUUACAUAUCUAUAUAUCUUUGAGGCUCCAGGCCUAAGUGACUUGCCCAAGGUCACACAGGAAGUCUGUAGCAGAGUCAAUAGUUGAACUGAGAUCUCCUGAAUCCCAGACCAGUGCCUUAACCACAAGGCCAUCCUUUGUCUCUUGCUAAUUCACUUGACACAGCCCAAGCAGCUAGAGACCCUUCAAACCUGUAUACUUUGGCAUUUCAUCUCUGACAGUCCAUGGAGCACGAGGGGAAGCAAAGGGAGCCUGGCUAUUUUUUUGCCUUCCACCAGCUCCUGCACCUGUUCGACAGAAUAUUUUAUAUGCAUGCAAAAAAAUAGAAAGUUAGACAUUCAUCCGUCACCUCUGUUUCUGCUGCUUGAACAUAACUAGCUGCUUAAAGAAUUACAUAAUAAUUGUAAAUCUGCAUAAAGAAACCCCCCACUGUAAAUGAAAUAUUUCUCAUAAAACUCUUUCCUUUAGUUUGGUCUAGUGGAAACUCAUUUAAAUUUGAUUUAUUGUGCCUUGGAAUUUAAGACUUUGGAUGAGAUUAAUGGGCUGUUUUCUGGUUACAUCAUCUUCAUGGAUUGCGAAGACAAGCCUACACUGAAAUCACAGAGGACAGUUUAGAUAUAGUCCCCUUGUUAAAAUAAUGGAAUGAUGGCUGUUUCCAAGUAACUCAAUAGGAUAACAUAACAGAUAGGCUGCAUAAGGAAUAAAUCUGAAAUUUCCACUUUAUAAUAAGGCCAAUUGCAGCAAUGUCCACAACAAAUGCUUUACAUUACAGCGACAGGCUGUAUAUCAUUAAAUACAUCAGACAUGACUCAUUUUCAGGUCUCUCUUCCGAUUGGCUGAAAAAAAACGUGUUUUUUUUUUGUGUGUGAGUGCCCCUAGACCAUAUUUUUGUGAAUUUCAGUGCGAUCCCCAGAGAGCUUUCCUUUAGCACAUUUCAAGUGGAUGUGAAUGUGAACGUGAAUGGGACAUGAAGUGAACACAGCACCAAAACAUUUAGGGGGAGAUUUUCAAAGGUAAAAAGGACAAUCAGACAUCCCACUCCCACUGCAAGUCAACAUAUGAAAGUUGUUUUUCAAGAGUUCCCCCUUACUACUUUGUAUUACAGUGUUGAGCAGAGGCCCUAUCAAGACGGAGCCCCACUUGUGCAAGGUACAUAAUAAAGUCGAUUCUAUUUGAAGGGUCAAAGGGACGAAAUCUGCAAUUUACACUCAGGCAAAACCCUCCUGCCACCCUCCAAUCGAAGUUACAUUGUUAACUGGUCACUGUGACUUCCAGAAUCCUGGACCCUAGAACACUGAUGAUUCAAUCCACAGUCGUUAAACACCAGGCAGCAGUAAAUCACCGAUCCUAUCCUGAAACCUGAAUCAUGUGAAACUGCUGGAUUAGGCUCCCCAAACAUUUUGCAGGAAUACUCGCAAAUUCCAGAAACUUUUGAAGGAAAAACUAAAACUCCAGAGGUGGAAAUUGUAUUAAGUUGCACCCAAUUUCUCAAAUGGACCAGAGUUUUGUGACUAUCCUUAAUUAUUCAAGAGCAGGUUUUGUUUCAUGCUACCUCUUAAUGCUGUACGGUUUGGGUUUUCUUGGCAGCAUGGAAAACAGAGGUCUCUGGCAAAUGCUACAUUUUGCUUAAUACACUUUCUUGCUCAGUUGCCAUUUGGAAAAAUUAUGAUUUAUUUCACUGGCCCAAUUUUUUUUUUAAAAUGGCAAACUUGGCCCAUUUCAGUGUUGGUGGUUUUUUGGACAGUCCUCAGAUUUUUUUAAGGCUAGACAGCGACUUGGACUACAUGCCUGCCAAGGGCAAUAAGAACUUCCUUUGUGUCUCUGUAUGGGCUGCUGAGUCCUUGGGACCAGAUGCAGAAAGAUAAGUGGGUGCUAUGCACCUGGUCAAUGCCCCACCUGGAGCAGGUGAGCAUGGAGCAGGCAGGCGGAUGGAUGGAACCAUGGCUCCUCCCACAACACAUGAGCUGGUGAAAAUAUACCAUGGGAGGUGGGGAAGAAUACAUUUGUUUCUGGUAUAUGCUAAGCAAGCAGCAAAUUACUGACACACAGCCAGCCACCCCUACCCUGGAGCAAAGGGGAAGCAGUGAGGAAACGGUGCCUCUGAAGCGCAUCUCUGAGGCACAGAAACAACGAGGAGUCUGGUGGCACAGCAACUUCUCCUGCGUGCUGCUUACAAACAACUCCUUGCUCAGGGCUGUGCCUAAACAAACAGAGCCAGGUCAUCCACUGGUGGAAAUGGGCGCAGCUUCACUGACUCCCAUGGAACUACACCCAUUUACACCAGCUGAGAAUCUCACCCUUAGAGAAUGCACUUCUGGAGCUUGAUGGGCUUUCGAUGAUGCUUGCCAGGGCCAAUAAUUCCAUAAAUCAAAGACGCGAGUUUGCUAAUCCACAUCCAGCCAGACCCCUUAGAUAUCCAGCAAUUGGAUUUGGAUGGGUUCCCACUAGAUUUCAGUCCCUGGGGUGAUCUAGUUUAGAAAGCAAAUUUCUGUACAGUGAAAUGUGUUUGGCAGCCCUGCUGCAAAUGAAGUUCAUCCUUAGGGCGCACGCAUGCACACACA